rnacentral:rRNA from 1 species
UACAGAGGGGGCAAGCGUUGUUCGGAAUUACUGGGCGUAAAGGGCGCGUAGGUGGCCUUCUAAGUUGAACGUGAAAUCCCUGGGCUCAACCCAGGAACUGCGUCCAAGACUGGGAGGCUUGAAUCCGGGAGAGGGAUGCGGAAUUCCAGGUGUAGCGGUGAAAUGCGUAGAUAUCAGGAGGAACACCUGUGGUGUAGACGGCUUACUGGACCAUGACUGACGCUGAGGCACGAAAGCGUGGGGAGCAAACAGG